GCAGAAGGGAGGGAGACCCACUUACUGCGCCGGUGCCCCGCGGUGGGGUCUCGCCUCCGGAGCGGCGGGGCGGCUCGACCCGGUUGCUGCGAUCGCGGCGGCGGCGAGUCAAGGCGGCGCAGGGCUCAUCGCAGGUAAUAAACUUCUGGGUCUUACAGCCACAGGAGGCAGUGGAGGCAGAUGGUAUGAGCAAGCUCAAUAAGCGAUCCAAAUCCUACAUUAGACCAUGGCCAGGAACCUGAAACAAGUACAUUGGGUUUGUGUGGACUCUCGCUACAUAGUCAUAAGGAUCUUCUAGUCAAAAGGAGAAUUCACAGCUCCUAGGUUGCUUCUGACUGAGAAAAAAGAUAUUUAGCAUACCUAUCUUUGACAUAAACUUUUCCUACAAAUACCAGUGACUACGUGGCGCUGUUGGCAACUCUCCAGGACAGGGGCUAUACUGAAGCAUACCACCUCAGG